CCUACGGGUGGCAGCAGUGGGGAAUAUUGGACAAUGGACGCAACUCUGACGCAGCAAUGCCGCGUGAAUGAUGAAGGUCUUCGGGUUGUAAAGUUCUUUAAUCAGGGAGGAAGAAGAUGACGGUAUCUGAGGAAGAAGCGACGGCAAACUAUGUGCCAGCAGCCGCGGUAAUACGUAGGCGGCCAUCGUUCGGCGGAAUGAGUGGGCGUGAAGGGAGCGGAGGCGGUCUGUUAAGUUGGAAGUGAAAUCCCGGGGCUUAACCCCGGUAGUGCGUUCAAGACUGGGGGACUUGAGUGUAAGAGAGGUAAGUGGAAUUCCAAGUGUAGCGGUGAAAUGCGUAGAUAUAAGGAAGAACACCAGUGGCGAAGGCGGCUUACUGGAUUAUAACUGACGCUGAGGCUCGAAAGCGUGGGUAGCAAACAGGAUUAGAUACCCUAGUAGUC
rnacentral:rRNA from 1 species